rnacentral:lncRNA from 1 species
GUACCCUCCUCAUCUCUCACUUCCUUAGUCUCGAGACUCUUGACAAUUCCACCCCGAGGGCACACUCAGAAAACGAAACUUGACACCAGAAGCCCGUCACAAACCCUAAAAAAAUGUCGGGCGGCUUUUUCCGGGUAGGAAUCUCCCUUUAAUUUGUUUGGCUAUCCGCUAUUUAAAGUUUUUUGUCCGAAUCGAAUUGCUUUUUUGUGAAUUAAAAUUUGUGCGGGUUUCGUGAAUUUAGAUCUUCCUUCUUUUAGAACCUGAUUAUUAUAAUUUUAAUUUCAAUUAGGGCACAUCGGCUGAUCAGGAUACAAGGUUCUCGAACAAGCAAGCAAAACUGCUCAAAUCUCAGAAAUUCGCUCCUGAAUUGGAACACACGGUUCGUCUUUGCAAUUUUUCCAUUUAUGUAUGCUUAUUAUUUAUGAUUAUGAUUGUAUUAUUAUUUAUUAUUUUUUUGUUUAUUUUCUGUAUGAAAAUGUACUUAGGUGGACAUGUUGAAAAGUUAAGAUGGAUAUCAUGAGUUGAAGGGGUUGCCACACUGAUUUUUAUUUUUACUUUUUAAUUUUAUAUUCGGUUUCUUCUGAAUUUUUGAAAUUUUUUCCUUUUUUGUUGGGGUGGGGAGUGGGUGGGUGGGACAUAUAUUGAAUAAUGUUGAAUUUUUUUAUGAAAGUCAAAUGUGUUUCUAGGUGGACAUGGCUAAAGUGAAGAUGGAUGUUAUGAAACCGUGGAUUGCAAAGCGCGUGACUGAGCUUAUUGGAUUUGAAGAUGAAGUUCUUAUUAAUUUCAUUUAUGGUCUACUUGAGGGAAAGGUAUCUCAAAACACUGACUUGUAUUGUUUACUUGUGUGAUUGUCAGUUAGCUGAUUUUAAUUGUUUGAUGAUUGAUUUAUUAUAAAUGUGAGUUAUUGAGCUUUGAGAAUGCAGAACUAUUUUUGACUUCUUAAUAUUAAAAAUUUAUAUCUACUCUAAACAUUUGACGGUGGUUAUGUUUUAAUAGGCAAGUGAGGCCAUUAAACUGUUAAGUUAAUUUUAGAGAAUGCUUCUGCUUUGGAUAACUGUUGGUGUGGAUAUGAUUGGGUGCAGGAAGUUAAUGGGAAGGCGGUUCAAAUUCAACUUACUGGUUUCAUGGAGAGAAACACUGGGAAGUUUAUGAAAGAGCUUUGGUCACUACUUCUGAGUGCACAGAAAAAUGUGAGUGGUGUUCCACAGCAGUUUCUGGAUGCUAAAGAGGAGGAAACUAAGAACAAGAAGGUCUACUCACGCUUCCUUAAGUUUUUGGAUCUUCUAUAUCUGUGGUGUGUCUUUGUUUAAUAAUAUGUCCAUGGGGUGUUACAGGCAGAGACUGAUCGUAUCGCAAAUGAAAUUCAAAGGAAGAAAGAGAAGGAAAAGCAGGAUCUUGAGCAAGAGAUAGAUAAAAUGGUAAUUGAAAACCCUUUUUUAUGCAAAAGUUAGAUUAUAUAGAUCUCAAAUUUUGUUCCUUACUUCCUUUCAUGUUUCAUUUUGUUCAGCUUGCUUCUGUUUCUGCAAUUUUUUUGGUCAUGUCCUUUACUUCAAACUGCUGUAGGAUGGUGAUGGUGACAUCUCAAGAUACAAGAAUGCUGGCUCAGACCUAAAUUCAAAACACGAUUCGAGGUCUUCCAGCCCCCGAUUGGCAGAUGGGAAAGAGCAUCGUGAGAGAAAUGGCCUGAGAGGACGAAGCAGGUAGGAAUUAACUGGAUUUACUAAUUACUCAAAAAUUUUAAGGUACUCAAUUGGCAGGGGUUUGAUUUUAUUUUUUGGAAUGUCUUAAACUCUAAACGGAACAAAACUUAGACCACAUCUUGAUUUGCAUGUACUCCUAAUUUUCUACUGCUUAAUUUUUUGCUCUUAGGCUUUGUGUAAAUGAUAGGAAAAUCUUAUACAGGAUAAUAUUUCCCAAGAUAAAUGAGUGGACAAAAUGGAUGACUCAAGGAUAUGGAUGGAAGUGAGGUCUUGUAAACUAUCUUGGAGCUCAUAGCAAUUUGAACGAGAAUGUUAUGAAGUUGGACAGUUUUGGGUUAAUUUUUUAUGCCAGAAAUGGUUUUCUACGUAAAUAUUCUUAGAACUAGAAAGAGUAAAAAACAUGGAGAUUACUAGAGGAGGAUGAGAGAGUUUUGCUCAUUCGAGGGUAGGUCAAAAUCAUGCAUUUAAUUUCAAACUCUGUGCAUCAAGUCUACUGACAUGAAGAAAUUUUCCCACUUCAAUAAGGAUUUGGACAAAUUGGAGUAAUUUAAAAGUCUGGAGACUAUGAUCGCUUGAAAUUGGGACUAACCUAGAGUCUUGGAUUCUUAUGAAUUGCAACUUCUAAAUAUUAUUUUAAUUUUCUAGAUCAAUUAGGACUUAUGCAAUGUAAAAAGGGAUAAAUUCCAUUCGCUGUAACUAUGCUUUCGCUUUAUGUCAAUUAGGUGACUUUAGGAGUGGCGUGUGGUUUGGCUCAGUUCGAUCUUAAAGGGAAUCUAACCAAACUAAUUACCAAUGUGAAUUUUACAAAUGGAAUUAUUGGUUCCUUAUGUAUCGAACUGGAAAUGGACAAAUUGUUUCCUAUUUCUUUCGGUACUUUAUACUUAAAAUAAUGAAAAUAGAUUAUGAAAUCAAUUGUCAUUCCUAUAAUCUAACAAACAAAAAAUCAAUGAAUAGCAAGUCACUAAUAUAUUCCACAUGCUUUUUUAUUAGAGGUACUAGCUAGAAUAUUUAAAUUAUACAUAUUGUCCAAUGAUUAAAAUAACACCAAGUAUGUAAGUUUAAAAAAUAAAAAUUAAAAAAAUGCCAUUAAUCAAGAAUUACCACUAAUUUUGCUUUCCAGUUUCAAAUUCUCACUAAAUUUGCUUUAAAAUUGCCAAUUCACAAGUGAACAAUGUAAUAUGGAGUCAAAUUUGAAUAAUAAGUUAACUAAAUAUCAAAUCCCAAAUUUUAGUAGAAUUAACAAUCUACCAUAAUAAAAUUUAACUUAAGAACUCUUCAAUGUCUUCAACUUACAAAAUUUUAGUAGAAUUAACAAUCAACUGUAAUAAAAUUAAACUUAAGAAGUCUUCAAUGUCUUCAACUUAGCCCUUGUUUGACACCCAUUAAAAUUCAAAUACAUUUUUUACUCUUUUUUUCAACCAUACAUUUUUCAAUAAAAUAAUAUUACACGUAAAUUAAAAAAAAAAAAAAAUCUUUUUUAAUCACACAUCCUCCCAAAAAUACUAUUUUAUCAUACAUUUUACCAAAUUUUCUCUUUAUAAUGUGUCAAACAAGGGCUUAUCUGCAUCAAUCCUUUUAAAGAGUGAGUCCACCCCUUGCAUUGAUUUUAAAAUAUAAAAAUUAAAUGUUAAUAUAUGAACGAAAAAUUACACAUAAGAAAUUACAAAUAAAAUAUAAUUACGGUCGUACUUUCAACUAGAUCAUCAAUGAAUUUUCACAAUCAUUGAAUAAUCCUUUGUGUGAUUAUGUUUCUUAACAAAUUCUACAUGAUAUUGCAAAAAAAAAAAAAAAAAUUUUUUUUUAUAACUGUCAAUAUUAAAAGAAGCAUAAAUAAAAAGUAAAAACAAGUUUACAAUCUAAUAAACAAAAAUAAAAUAAGAUAUUCUAAUUAUCGAUUUCCAAUUUAAUAAAUUGUUCAUGAUAUUCCAUCUCUUCAAUGCCCACUCCAUAUAGUUGGUCUCCCAAGUGUAGAACAUAGCCAAUUUUGUAUAUAAAUUAAAGCCUCAAUUAUUUUGGGUGUAUUAACUCCUAAAUGAAUCAAAAACUCGCCCUACGGCACUAAAUGUCGACUCCAAAGCAACAAGAGAGAGAGGUUUGCAAGUAGAUCCCUUGCAAUCUUAAACAAAAUUGCAUAUCUUGGACAAUUUAACUUAAAAGUUGAAUUACUAGUUUUCAGUGGGGUCCAUUAGUUAUCUCUGAAUCUCAUCUUUUAACAAAUUAGCAUUGCUACUUCUUCCUUUUUUUUUUUUAAAAAAAAAAAAAUACCCAAAUCAAAAUUGUUGGACUCAUCCCAUGAUCAUCUGCAUAAGCCUCAACCAAAUUGUCAUUAAAGUCAUGAAUACCACCAUCUCCAUCAUUGGAUGCACUAUGCCAUCCUUUAUACCUAUUUUACAACUCGCGAUAAAAUCUUGAUUUCAUUUUUUCGAUUCAACCAAGCUAUUAUCAUAAAAGUGACCAAUACAAUAAACUACUUCCAACUUGUACCGAGGAUUCAAUCACAAUAGCUCUAAUAUCUGUAUUUUGUUCAUUUUAUCAACAAUCCCCCAAUACUUGUCGAAUUCACUCUUCAUGUUUUUUGCCAUAUCACUAAAUAAAAGAUCUUGCUAUGCUAAAUUUCUUCAAAAUUUGUUGAAUAUUACGAACUUCUUAAAAGUACAAAUUCGAGGUCACAUUCAAAGAUUCACUAAAAUUUUAAGUGAUUUUGUGAAAGGUUUCUAGAUACUUAAUAAUUUCCUCAUAUUUUUCCCAAUUGUCUCUUGUAAUUACCUCCUAUUUCCUUCCCAUUCUCACGCUCAUCAAAAUAUAUGCAAUAAAACCCAUAUUCCUUUGCCAUCCGAUCUAAUAGUUUCUCAAACUUAAGUGCACCAUCCAACAUCAAGUAUGUUGCAUUCCACCGAGUAAGCUAAUUUUUGCACUAAUUUCUUCUUUUAUCACAAAUCUUGAAUUUUGCUAAUCUUGAAGGGGAUGAUCCAAAAUAUUUCACGGCAUUCGUAUACUUGCUAUUGCCACGUUAAACUCUUUCAACUCAUCUUUUACCAUUACAUUCAAAAUAUGUGCACACCUUACAUGCGUAAGGGACCCACAUAAUGCCAUCCUAUCAACUUUCCCAUUCUUUAAUAUAUUUUUCGUAUUCAAUAGCCCUAUCAUUUGCACUUGUAUUAACAGUAGUAAUUAUGGAUACAUGCUCUAUUUUCUAGUCAAGCCAACAUUUUUCAGCAAGUUUUACUAUUGUUUUUCCUUUAUGGUUACGAACUAUCGAAACUCAAUAUCCUCUUAUUUAACACCCAGUUUUUGUCAAUAAAAUGGGACGUGAUAACCAUGUAAUUAAUAUAUUUAUUUAUGUCUUGCAAUUUGUGGUAAGACACAACUCUUGCUUAUUAGCAAUAAGCUUACCUUUCAAUAAUUCUCUCUUCACUAUAAAGUUUUAGCACGUCCCUAUUAACUAUUCUACGAGAUGGAAUAUCUGACUUAGGGCAUUCAUAUCCUAUAUAUUUUCUAAACCCAACACCAUCAAUAAAGCUAACGGCAAUUCAUUGACAAUAAUCAUUUUCACCAUUGCCUUCCUACAUGCUUCUUUGUUAAACACCAUAGCACCAAUAUCGGCAAUGCCACCGUUACCACCAUCAUUGUCAUUUAAUCAUCUCGUUAGUACCUUGUCUUUAAUCUAUUUGGUACUCUUGUAUGCUUUGCAAGUGUUUCCACAAGUUAGAAGUUUUAGUUUCAUUGGAAUCAUGAGCAUAAGAUUCCCACAUAGCUACAUUCUGCCCUUUUUCCCUUGUAUCUUAGUAAAAUGUUACCAUACUUUCGAUCUCACAUUCAGGCUUCUUUUAUUUUCAACAAUCUCUGCGUUCAUCUACGUGACAAAUAGUAGAAAAUACGUAAAACAAAAAACUGAUUCUAUACUAUGAAAUCAAUGGUUUUCAUGGCAACAAUCUUCAAACUUCUUAAGUUGUUCAUCCUAAUAGAAUUCAUUUCUUCCAAAGUAUACUUCAUUCUUCAUUUUGUAAUUAUAAAGAUUCAACUGAAAAAGAAUUCUAUGUUGGGAAUUGGAAAAUGGAAAUCAACUUCUAUUGUAAGUCCUUUGUAAAGAAAUAGUUGCAAAUUUUUUCCAAAUUGUAAAGACUCUUUAUCCAAAUUUUAAAGACUCUUUAGCAUGUCAUUAAUCAAAUCAAGCUAUAUCUUCGUACUCGUAAUCUACUGACUGCAAUGGGUUGUGAAAAACAUUCAGAUUGCAAUCUCUUUAGUCUUUAACGCUUAAUAAUCUAACUUAUACUGUAUAUACUUAAAGUUUACACAAUAUAAAUAUUGUCUUCUCAGCAUUAAUAUAGAUUUCAUUAAUUUAAAUAGCAUAAUGUUUCAGCAUCAACUGAUAAUGAAUUUUUGCAUACAAGAUAAAAAUAAAGUCAUAAAUUAUCACGUUGUUCAAUAAAUCCUAUAAUUGAAUUCAGUGAAUGAAGACCAAACAAGGCAACAACCAAACAAUCCAACUCCAAGCUCAAAUUUAGAUUGCUCUAGAUUUACUAAACAUUAUAUAUUUGAUAUAGGAGCAUACAAAUUGAUAAAGAACAAUAAGAAGAAAGGGGAUCAAAAGGAAGAAAUGAGGGCAAGAGAAAACUUUUAUUCAUAUAAUUAUGGUCUGUUUAUAAACAUUGUCCUAAGUCUCUUUAUAUAGAGGACUUCGAAAUUAAAUAAACUUCCUAGUAUCAAUUUGGUAUCGGAGCAAUGAGAAGAAACGGGAUCAAAUAGAAGAAUUGAGGGCAAGAGAGAUAGUUUUAUUCAUAUAAUUCAGGUCUGUUUGUAAACAUUCCCCUAAAUCUGUUUAUAUAGAGAAAGACUUUGAAAUUAAAUAAAUUUCAUAUCUAAACAAACUUGAAAUAAAAGAUAACAAUUGUCAUAAUCAAACUACUAUAAUAUAGAUAAACUGGAAUUCUAUUAAUUCUUAGUUUUUCGUCUUGAAUAGACUUUUAGUUGUUUCCUUGUUGUGUCAAUAUUGCUCCAGUCCAGAAUUCGUCGAUUAAAGUUUAAUUCUUAAAAAAAUCAUACAACAGUUUAUAUAUAAAAAAAUACAUCUAGGUAUUUUAAUUCAAACUCGAUUAUCUUCAAUAAUGUCAAGGUGAUCUCGAGAAGAUCUUGAUUCUUGACAUCAUAUCAAUUUUGAUAAAAUGAGAGAUUUGAGUUCUUGCGAAAGAUCAAAUAGAAGAUAUAUUUUUCCCUUUUGGGGUUUGCACUAAAAUUAUGAAUUUGUAAAGUAUUUAUAGAAUUAUUUAGAACGUGGAUUUUGAUAUUUUGAAUCUUGAUUACGGAGUAGGUUUUCCUUACAAAGGAUAGAGUCAGAAUUGUAGAAGUGUAUCAAAAGGUGGUGUGAGAUAAUUCUUGACCUAGGACUUUAUAGCCUGUUUGGUAUGGAUUAUUUUAAUCUAAGUCAACGUCAAACAAUCAAUAUUAACCACAUCUUUCAUGGUUUCCAUAACUUUUCAACCAUAAAUUUCAAAAACUUCUAUCACGAUCUACUGAAAAAUAUAAUUUUAAUCCCUACCAAACACCCUUUUAAUGUCAAAAUAUGAGGACCUGGUAUAUCUUGGUGCAAUGCACCUAUGUAAUAUAAAUUUUGGGAAAAUCAUCUGUUCUCAUGGCUGCACUGAAAACCAGAUCGAGCCACUUAGUAAAGGAAUAGGAGCCUGGAAAGAUUGUCCACCUCUAGGAAAUUGUACUUCAAUUUUGUUCAAUUGGGUAACUAAAAUUUUUCAUUUCAAUUGGAUAAUUUGAUUUUAAUCAAAUAACUAGGUUUUGAUUUUAUUUAAAUUAAAGUAACUUCGUCCAAUUCCACCAACAAAAAUUGAUGACGUGGCUAUUUAUAAAUUUUGGUCAUCAUACAUAACCGUCAGAUGCUAAUGGGAAAUAUGUACAACUUAAGUGAAAUCAAUGACGACCGUCGUUUUUUAAUUGUCACGUCAUUGAUAUUGUCUGUCCAAGUGAUAGAAUCAUAGAAAUCCAUUUGAAAUCAAAUUAAAGUGUAGUUAUACAAUUAAACAAACAUCAGUAUCUAGGUAUUGACUCCAGAUGAAAAUGUAGUUACCUCAAAUGGAAUUUAUCCAUGUAAAAACCUAGUAAGAAUGAAAUAUGCCUUUGGAGAAUCUAUAUUUCUAAUAUAUAUCAAUUAUCUAGGAGUAACAAAACAUCAUUCCUCUUUUGUUUGCUAAUACAAGGUGAUUGAUGUUUGUUUAGGUACAGCCUUGUAGGUUUCAAAAACUCGACUUUUCCACAUAGUAAUUGCUACUGGAGUAUACAUAUGUGCAAUUGAGUUUUCUUAUCCAAAAUAUUGUUUACUUGCUAGAUAUAUAUGUCGAAAAGUGUGCUAAAUCACCAUUGCUGCAAACAAUCAAGUUCUUUUGGGGCUUUUUGGAGGCUUUCACCUCCAUAAGUAUUUGUUUUUUCCCAAGAAGUUUCGAUUCCAUUGUUAAGUGGUCUCAAGUGAUGUUUUGUCACAUAUAUUAGUUUCGAGUUUUUUGUAUCUUUUCUUUUACCCAUCUUUUUCUUUGUUACUUGAUGAAGAUUGUUGAUUAUUAGCAUUAUAUGAGUUAACAAUCAAUUAAUAAGAUAAUGGGUAUCAUGAGAUUUUAGGUGUUAUAUGUUAAGCCACUUUAUGUAAAAGCUUAAGUUAUUCAUAUUUUGUCUUUGCCUAUCAUGCACACAUUUUGAUAAAUGCAUUUUUUUGUGGGCAGCAUUGCCGCCUCUCGUAUAACGUAGAACCAUUUUUGUCUGAAAGCUUAAGCCAUUAUAAGGGGAUACAUUUAUUUAUUCAAGUUUUAUUUUCAAAGUUAUGGAAUAUAUGUAGUGUCUUGAAAUUAAAAAUGUCAAUUUCCUUGUAAUUCCUCAUGGUUUGAACUCCGUGCAACGGAUAAGCGUAUUAAAGAGCCAUACAAAAGUGCAAUUUUUUUUUCUUCGUUUACUUUGGCUGUAAUGACCCGGACCUCUCGUCCAAGCCGUUAGUUUACGUACUGUCCGCUUUGGGUGGCCACUUAUCCCUCACGACUUUUCUUCGCGUCCCCCAGGAUUCGAACUCUUGACCUCUACAUAAAAGAGAUUUAAGUUGAAUCAUUAUAUUAAUUGGAAAAAAUGCGCGCGUUUUUUUGUAACGACCCGGACCUCUUGCCCAAGCCAUUAGCUUACGUCCUGUCUACUUUGGGUGGGCCUUGCGCCCACUUAUCCCUCACGGCUUUUCUUCGCGUCCCCCAGGAUUCGAACUCUUGAUCUCUACAUAAAAGAGACUUAAGUUGAAUGCUCUAAAACAGACAGGACGUAAGCUAACGGCUUGGGCGAGAGGUCCGAGUCGUUACAUUGACCCAUCUUAUGAAUGAACCAUUGCAAUAUGCAUGUCACACACUUGACACUGUACUCUUAUUAGAGCUUGGAGUGUCAUGCUGAGUAUUAUUGAUAUUAGCUUGCUCCUGCUCUUAUACUGUUAUGAUUUUUAUGACCAGCAUUUUUAUUUUCAUUUAUUUAUUUGUUUAUUUAAUUUUUUGUUUCAUUUAUGUAUUGCUUUCUAUCUUUCCAGUUCAGUUAGAUUAAUGCUGGUUACACUUGUAAGUAACCUCAGACUGGGCUGAGAUGUUUUUUGGUUGACAAAUAUUAUUUGUAGAACAUCUUUAAUAUGCUGACUGGAUGAUUUAGAUUAAUAUUUGUUUCAUUUGCACAGGGUUCCACAAUCUCCUGAUUCAGCUGACCGUUCCCCAUCUCCAAGGUAAGUAUUUUGAUCAUGAUAACCUCUGGUGGUCUCUUCUACUUAAUUUUUUCUUGCUCCUUAAGAAUAAGCUUUUGGUUCCCUUUAGCAGCAGGAGGCCUUCCAGGCCAAUUAGCAAAUCCUUUUCCAAUUCUAAAAGUUAUUCUGAGUGGAUUUCCAUUUGAUGUCAGAGUGUGCUCAUAAUUUUGAUAGAUUGUGAUUUGUUAUCUGGUUUUCAUUUUAGUGAAAGACGGAGGUCAAGAAGUAUAUCUGGAUCACCUCCACCGAGAGGACGGUCCAUUUCCUCUGAGAGGCCACGUCGAUCUUCACCAAGACUGUCUGGGACACCGAGGAGGAGGCAUUCGCCUCGUCUCUCUCCUCCACCAAGGUAUAGGUCAACCCGCACUAGGAGAAGAUCUAUAUCGCAUUCAAGGCACAGGUCUCCUUCUCCCACACGAUAUAGGGUUCGUUCCCCUCUGCGUCGCAGGUCACGAUCUCCUUUGCGACGUAGAUCAAGAUCUCCCGUGUGGCGUAGGUCAAGGACACCAAUACGAAGAUCACCAGUGCAAUACAGGUCCCGUUCACCCGUGCGACGCAGAUCACCACCUGUGCGACGCAGAUCACCACCUGUGAGACGUAGAUCACCGUCUCCUAUCCCACGACGAUCACUGUCUCCUAUGCGACGACGAUCACCUUCCCCCCCUCGUCGUAGGUUGCCAUCCUUUCGUCGUAAGUCACCAUCCCCUCAUCGUAGGUCACCAUCUCCUGUAAGAAGGCAGCACCGACGAUCACCUUCAACUCCACGGCGCCAGUCUAUAUCCCCAGUUCGGCACAGGUUACCAGUGCCCAGUCGAAGAAGAUCUAUAACACCUGCCAAACGAAGGUCUCCUUCAGUGCAAGAAUCUAUUUCCCCCUCUCCCAGUUCCCUUUCACCAGUCAGGAGGCGAUCACUGAAAAGCCAGAAAUCACCUCUACGAUCUCCCAGAGAAGCAAUCAGGUACUUUAGAGCAUGUUAGCUGCUUUCGAUCUUUAAGAAUUUUUUGAUAUUUGUAUUUUAUUUUGCUUUCAAGCGUAUGGUUUGCAUGUGUUUUUGUUACUGUUACAGUUUAGAUGCUUUAGUGCACAUCUGCAGCAAUGAUAAUGGCGGAACAGACAUUUUUUUUUUUUUAAAAUUAGGAUGCCUAGGAAUACGACAAAAACAAAUCAAUUGAGAUGACACACCCCUUUUAAGCAACUGUGAUAUGUCACGACAGUGUAAUGGUUCAUAAAAAAGAGAACAGGACGUUAUCUACAUAAAAGAACACUGAAGAGACAACACAAUGAAAUUAUGUGCUUAAGACUGUUGGCAUCCUUCCACAUAACACCUAAGCACAGCCCAUAUGAACCAUAACUCAACCAAUCUACUCCAGUUAUUAAAAAAAACCUCGUGUCUUCUUUAUAGAAUAAAAGGAACAUGCUUGAAAUACAGACCUCUAAACGAGGAGGUGCCUCAAAUGGCAAGAUCAUUAAUUUGUUUAUCCAAUAUUCUACCUUUUUGCUGGCACUUCAUUCUUAACUGUAGAUAAAUAGUUCAUUGAAUUGCAACAGAACUUUCCUAUAGCUUUAGUCGGAGGGCAGAAAUGUGAGUUAAUUUUUUUUCUGUAAGGUCCAUUUCCUAGUUUGAAAAGAAUUCAUAUUUUUGUUUUUAUUGUUUAAGGGACAGGGAAACAUGCAAUAUAUCAUGAUGAUGUGGCAGAUAAAUGAAAAUAUUUGAGUGUUGGUAACAGCCACACAAGAAAAAAGUGUGCUCUUUGUUUAAUGAGGUUGAUCAUGAUAUUUCCAGUAUUGCCACUCUCCUUUUUCUUCCCUCUGGUUUUAUCUCUGCUUUUUCCUUUGAUCUCUUGGAAGAACUGGGCUUUCAAAUUAGAGAAACUGGGGUAGAGAGCUGAGAUCUCUAUUAUAUAUCUGGUGAAUUUUGCACGAUUUUGUGUUAUGAGAUGACCAUCUGUACUAUUUCGACUUAUUGCUCUAUUUCCAUUCAAACUGGAUUCCCAUCUGCAUGCACUUUCCUAGUUUGCAGUAGCUGUAAAAAUUUUGAUGCAUAAAAUUCCUGCUGCUGGGGAAUAUGCAUAGAAAGCAGGCUUACUUGAUCUUUGAUCUCUCUAAACUCUAAUCCAAACUCUGAACUGUAGGCCUCUUGUUUCUUUGAGAUCACCGCAAAGGGACAUGCUGGAUCGAAAUGACCAACGUGGAAGAGUGCUGGAUCCGUCUCCUCUGCACAAGUCUCCAUCUGCUUCCGAAGUGUCUGGGGAAGGAAAUCAUAUUGAACGGCAGAGGUUCAAACCUCUAUCUAUAUCUACCUUUUGGUUUUUUUAUCACAUUUUCUUGAGGUGUAACAUUGUAAGUCACAUUUUAUUUGGAUAGGUCUAGUAGUCCUCAUCGUAGUCCUUAUCAAAGAAGGGAAAGGAUCAUUCUUCCUGAGAGUCCAAACCCUUUACCGAAAGGAAUGGGAUCCAAACCUCAUCCUGAUAGUUCUGGGACAAGUGCUGAUGACAGGUAAACCUUGUAUGCUAGGUUUUGUUUGAAAAGUUCAUUGUUCUCGAACGUGGUAUUUUUUACUCUAAAUUUCUGAGUUGUGCAUGGUUUUAUUUUUUAUUUAGAGAGAUUGGAAAGCUUAAACAUAGAUCUUUAGAGAAAAAUUCUCCAUCACAUGAUCGGCAUAAAGAUUCUUUUGGCUUUGAUGAUCAUGUGAAGUCAAGAAAUCCUCGUCAACUGCCAGACAGGUUUGCUGUUGCUGUGGUACAUUCUGUCUCAGUAGUCUAUAGUUUGUGUAUAACUGAUCUAAUUUUUGUAUUUUUUGUUUUUAUUUGAAUAAACCAGUGAAAAGUUAGCUGAAAGAGUGGAUCACAUAAUAAAUCCCGAGAAACAAGAAUCAUUAGUGAUUCGUAAAAGCGCCAUAUUAAGAGAGGAAGGAAAGGGAUCAUAUGUUGACAAUGAUUACAGAGCUGUUGAUAAGAAUACAUCUGUGUAUGACGAUACCAAGGGCAGUGGUCGACAUUCAGAACUUGAAGUCUUGCCUAAUUUGUCUGGGGCAGACAAGCUGAAUGCUCGAAGUCGUUCAGUGGGAUUCAACUCUGAGGAAACUGACAGGCAUAAAACUAAAAUUAAAGAAAAGGGAAAGCACAAGAGGUCAGAGAGACAAGAGGUGGAAUCAGAUGACUAUUCUAGCUAUGAUUCUUAUGAGAAGAGGAAGGAGGCUAAGAGGAGGAAAAAAGAGGAGAAGAAAUUGAAAAAGGAGGAGAGGCAUCGACGGCGGGAGGAACGGCGCCGCAGAAAAAAGGAAAAGCAUGCAGAGAAGCUGAAAUUGAAGUCGCUUGACGCUGGUAGUCCAUCUUUAGAUAUUGAGAUUGAUCAUGAUCGUCAUGCUUCUUAUGAUGACGGUUAUAGAAGGCGGGAAACGCAUACAAGUGACAUGGAGGAAACAGAAUCUGAGCAGAAAAAGCUUGAGAUAGAGUUGAGGGAAAAGGCUCUUGAGUCGCUUCGAGCAAAGAAGGGCGCUCAGAAUUAAAUUUUUUUGCUGCUCUAGAAUAUUUCACUUUUAUUUUCUGUUAUAUGAUCCUGUUAUGAGUUCCUGUUUCUGUCCUAGACCUAUUCUGUUUCGGAUGAAUGUAUUCUUGGUGGCUAUUUAAUGUAAUGUGUCUUUACUGCUGGCAGCUGAAUGGAUAAAUGAGGAUUUCCUGAGCUAGUGUCUUGAGUGCAACUUUAUGCUGACUUUCCUGCUAAAUUUGCUGGUAAUAUUUGUCUUCCCUUCACUGGGAAUAUGUUUAUGUUAUAUUUACACGACACAAAAGUGUGC